AGUGAACGCUGGCGGUAGGCCUAACACAUGCAAGUCGAACGGCAGCACAGUAAGAGCUUGCUCUUACGGGUGGCGAGUGGCGGACGGGUGAGGAAUACAUCGGAAUCUACUUUUUCGUGGGGGAUAACGUAGGGAAACUUACGCUAAUACCGCAUACGACCUACGGGUGAAAGCAGGGGAUCUUCGGACCUUGCGCGAUUGAAUGAGCCGAUGUCGGAUUAGCUAGUUGGCGGGGUAAAGGCCCACCAAGGCGACGAUCCGUAGCUGGUCUGAGAGGAUGAUCAGCGACACGGGAACUGAGACACGGUCCAGACGCCUACGGGAGGCAGCAGUGGGGAAUAUUGGACAAUGGGCGCAAGCCUGAUCCAGCCAUACCGCGUGGGUGAAGAAGGCCUUCGGGUUGUAAAGCCCUUUUGUUGGGAAAGAAAAGCAGCAGGUUAAUACCCCGCUGUUCUGACGGUACCCAAAGAAUAAGCACCGGCUAACUUCGUG
rnacentral:rRNA from 1 species